rnacentral:rRNA from 1 species
UACAGAGGUCUCAAGCGUUGUUCGGAUUCAUUGGGCGUAAAGGGUGCGUAGGCGGCGCGGUAAGUCGGGUGUGAAAUCUUGGAGCUUAACUCCGAAACUGCAUUCGAUACUGCCGUGCUUGAGGACUGGAGAGGAGACUGGUAAUUUACGGUGUAGCGGUGAAAUGCGUAGAUAUCGUAAGGAAGACCAGUGGCGAAGGCGGGUCUCUGGACAGUUCCUGACGCUGAGGCACGAAGGUCAGGGGAGCAAACGGG